AGGACGGGCGCUUUGGAGCCGAUCCCAGGUAGUGUGUGUCGGUCGCCUCGUCUGGAGAACUACUCCUCGACUCACGUGCAAGGAUGAUGCUGAAAGGAAUAACAAGGCUUAUCUCUAGGAUCCAUAAGUUGGACCCUGGGCGUUUUUUACACAUGGGGACCCAGGCUCGCCAAAGCAUUGCUGCUCACCUAGAUAACCAGGUUCCAGUUGAGAGUCUGAGAGCUAUUUCCCGCACCAAUGAGAAUGACCCGGCCAAGCAUGGGGAUCAGCACGAGGGUCAGCACUACAACAUCUCCCCCCAGGAUUUGAAGACUGUAUUUCCCCAUGGCCUUCCUCCUCGCUUUGUGAUGCAGGUGAAGACAUUCAGUGAAGCUUGCCUGAUGGUAAGGAAACCAGCCCUAGAACUUCUGCAUUACCUGAAAAACACCAAUUUUGCUUACCCGGCUGUACGAUAUCUUCUGUAUGGAGAGAAGGGAACAGGAAAAACCCUCAGUCUUUGCCAUGUUACUCAUUUCUGUGCAAAACAGGACUGGCUGAUACUACAUAUUCCAGAUGAUGGAGUUUUGUUCUUGUCAGCCAGUCUGGAGUACAGAGGCGCAAUCUCAGGUCACUGCAACCUCCGCCUUCCAGGCUCAAGAGAUUCUCCUGCCUCAGCCUCCCAAGUAGCUGGGAUUACAAGCGCCCACCACACCACCACGCCCAGCUAAUUUUUUUUU
rnacentral:sRNA from 1 species